GAGCCGUGUCUCCCGGCCGACUUGGGUGUCCCGGUUGGUGUGUGGUCGGGCCUGGGACGGGCGUGGUGCGGCGGGAACCGCCGGGUAGCGACCACGUCUCGUCAGGGGGUUCGUGCCUGCUGCUGGGCACGGGAACGGCUCCGGGGGGGUCUUACGGGCGCUGAGGGGAUUCCGCAUCAUGGAGAGGUCAAGGGGAGUUGGUGGCCGUCACCCUUCGUCAGGGCAGGGUAGCCUCAGUGCUCCCGUGCUGGGGUUCCUGGAGAGCCGGCUGGCACGGACAGACUCUUGUGAGGGCAAGUGGCUGAUCGUGCGUCGGAUGGGUCCAGCAAAGGAGAGAAAGCUUCGGUGCGCGCGCGCUCGCCAGGGAAAGGGUGACAGCGGGUGGGACCGAGAGGGAGAGAGAGAGAGGGAGAGAACAAAGGAAGAGAGAGGGUUUCCGCAGGGGCGGUGAGUCCUGGCGGAAGUCCUGAGGCAGAGGAGGUGCCAGGGGUUUGGGUUUCCCGGUCGUGUCGGGGGUGUGGCGCAGGUUGCCCCAGUGGGCCUGAAUGUGCCUCCGUGGGGCACCUUGUUGCCGUGUUGGGGGGCGGGGAGCCGGCCUUGGGGAUCCAUCUUUCGGGCCCUGGGACGUGGGAGAAGAAUGCCGGGGCCUCUCUCUGUGCCCCUGGCACGCCUCUGUGCAGGCCGGGCCUGCACCCCCCCCCAGGCAGGGUCCGUGUGGCUGCAGACACCCAGAGAGAGGGGAGGCUGGGGAGGCUGGGGAGCCGUGGCAGCCCGAUGCAGUGCGGGUCUCCAGGUGGAGGGGCCCUGGUCCCCUGGCGCCAGCGUGGCCCUUCCUCCUUGUGGAAACCCUUGUGGUGUGUGUGCUCUCUCGCCCUGACCCAGGAGAGCAGCAUGGCGGACCCCUGAUCUUGUGGCGUGCCACCGCGCGAGGCCGAGGAGCUCCCGCAGACCAGUGGGCGUGGCGUCCUUGUCGCGGCUCUGUGGAGACCUGGCGAUGGAGAGCAGCAUGGCGGACCCCUGAUCUUGUGGCGUGCCACCGCGCGAGGCCGAGGAGCUCCCGCAGACCAGUGGGCGUGGCGUCCUUGUCGCGGCUCUGUGGAGACCUGGCGAUGGAGAGCAGCAUGGCGGACCCCUGAUCUUGUGGCGUGCCACCGCGCGAGGCCGAGGAGCUCCCGCAGACCAGUGGGCGUGGCGUCCUUGUCGCGGCUCUGUGGAGACCUGGCGAUGGUGAGCGGCCCCUGUCCUCAGUGGUGGAGAACUCGCCCUUGGGGCGCUCGUCUGUCCGGGAGCCCCGGGCCAGCCCCGCUUCUCGCGGGCUUUGGCCCCGGCAGGCCAGCUCCGGGGCGUGAGGGGAGCGUCCCGUCCUGCCCAGUGGCUCGUCUGUCUGGGCACGCCCCCAAACGCUGCCGUGAUGGAGCGGGUGGAUGUCCAGGUGCGGAGGCCGUGAAUUUGCCUUGCGGCGGCGGAGCCCGUGCUCGGAUCGAUGAUGACUCCCUCUAAAGCAUUCCUUGGAAAUCUGAACAAAAUGAGUGAGAACUCACUACCGUCUCCUCAUCGAAACUGAGGUCCGGCACGUGGCGGCCACGGGGCUCGGGGGUAGAUGGGCCCUUGGCCUUGGGGCCUCUGGUGUCAGCAGCCACUCGGGUGAGGUCUGGGGAAGGCGGCCGCCUGCCGGGCCCAGGAAGCAUGGGGCCCGUCGCCCGGCGCUGGCCUCGGGGGAGAGGCCGCGUGCCCGAGCGUGCUGGAGAUCCCGGGCGGCCUCCCGCCGGCCUUGGGGUUUCGCAAGCCGUCGCGGGGGCCGAAAUUUGGGCCCGGCCCGCGAGGCAAGUGUGCGGCCCUAGGGCCCCAGGGGCGUCCUGGCCCAGGCCGGGCGCCCUUCUCAGGAUGCUGUGGGGAGACGGGAUCCCGGCAGGGUAGUGUUCUCUUUCUGCUCUGGGGACCCCUGAGGGCCACCUGCUGCAGGGGGUCUGUGGUAGCGGGGCCCUUGGAUCAGGGCCGUCCCCCAUGGGAGGGGGGGAGCCUGGGAACCCCUGAGGGCGCUCCCCUGGGACGUCCAGGGAUGUUGGGGCGGAGGCUGGGGCUGGGUGGCGAGAAGGGGCAGCUGAAGUGGUGAGCGACAGGCGGGCAGAGGGAGCC
ensembl:lncRNA